rnacentral:rRNA from 1 species
UACGUAGGGGCCGAGCGUUGUCCGGAGUUACUGGGCGUAAAGCGCGCGCAGGCGGCUCGUCAAGCCUGACGUGAAAGCCCCCGGCUCAACCGGGGGAGGGUCGUCGGGGACUGGCGGGCUUGAGGUCGGCAGGGGUUGGUGGAAUUCCCGGUGUAGUGGUGAAAUGCGUAGAGAUCGGGAGGAACACCCGUGGCGAAGGCGGCCAACUGGGCCGGACCUGACGCUGAGGCGCGAAGGCGUGGGGAGCGAACGGG